GUUUGAAACUUAUUAAAUUAUUUCCAGUCAUUGAGUUUCUCAAGUAAUUUUUAACAUAUUUUAAUUUGGAAAAACUACCUUCACAACCUAUUCAAGUAACUGAAAAUUAUUAAAGUAGUUUAUAUCAUAAAUACAGAAGCCGAUAAACAUUAGUGUACAAAUGUUAACUAAAAUACUAAGACAACAAACAACACAACACUUUACAGGUCUGGUAGUAUUAUCACUAUUAUCUGCUUAAUAAGUACACAUUUCUUCUGGCAUAUUUUCUACACUAAUAACAGAAAGUAAAUUAAUAUCACACAAAGUGGUCACAGAAACCAUUGAUUUCUUGUAGGUAAAAGUGGUAUAUAUAGUUACAGAUUUCAUAUUAUAAAUGAAUCAUUGUUUGAAGACAAUAUUCUGAAAUUAUGAAUACAUACCAGUACCUACUAUUAUCUUAUUCAUCUGCACUUUCUUCAACACUUAGAUUCUGAGUGGAGCAAGGAAUGAAUUGGUUUUACAAUGUUCAUCAAUUGUGAAAUUUACAAUAAUAGCACUGUUUCUGAAAGGAAAUCUGAAAUGGU